AAGAAAGCUUGCUUUCUUUGCUGGCGACCGGCGCACGGGUGAGUAACACGUAUCCAACCUACCCUUUACUCGGGGAUAGCCUUUCGAAAGAAAGAUUAAUACCCGAUAGCAUAAUGAUUCCGCAUGGUUUCAUUAUUAAAGGAUCCGGUAAAGGAUGGGGAUGCGUUCCAUUAGGUUGUUGGUGGGGUAACGGCCCACCAAGCCUUCGAUGGAUAGGGGUUCCGAGAGGAAGGUCCCCCACAUUGGAACUGAGACACGGUCCAAACUCCUACGGGAGGCAGCAUG
rnacentral:rRNA from 1 species